rnacentral:lncRNA from 1 species
UCUGCUUGUUUUAAUUAUUGUUGAAAACAAUAUGACAAUGACAUGUUUUACUGAAACAUGAAAUUAAUGAAUGUAGAAUACAAUUGCGUAUAUUAUAACUAAUGAAACAUUUCGCGUAAUGUUAAGAGAAAUGAGUUAAAAAUCGUUUGGUAUGUGUUACGGCGCCCUUUUUUUCUAUCUGCUCGCUCCUAACUUUAGUACCUGACAACACCUUUGAAGCCAAGUGACAGAAAUUGGUAGAUAUGAGUAUCUGCGUUGUAUUAACACUAUUUAUCAAAAGAAGUGUUUUUAUGUCCUAUAGAUUAGAUUAAUCUGUACCAGAUUUAGAAAUAAGUUUUGGGGUUGGUAAGAUCGAAAAAAUCCUUAAGUAUUGUCGAGUAUGGCUGCAGUGGAUAACAAGAAAUCCGUGUGGAUUGAUAGAGAGGUACAGGUGCAGGUAUGGCUGUGUGGUUAAGAAGCUUGCUUCCCAACAAUGUGGUCUUGAGUCCAAUUUCACUGUAGCACCUUGGGUAAUUGUUCUUUUACUAUACUUCUAUGUCAACCAAAGCUUUCAAGUAGAUCUGGGGGUGGAAACUAAAAGAAACCUGUCAUACAUGUGUGUCCCUUUGUCUUCAUAUGUGAUGGUUGUAAAUGAGCAUGUCAUACUAGCAAUGCUGCUCGUUUCCAGUUUUAAAUGAAAGGUUUGUCUAACCAUGGGGAAAUUUAUCUUACUUGAAAACAGGUGAGGGAUGGUAAUAAGGCAUUUGGCUGCAAAAAAAAAAUCUGCCUCAUUGUCUAACCUAUGCAAGCAUGUGAAAGUGGACAUUAAGUAUUUAUAUAAAAUCUCAACCUAUUUUCAUUGUGCAAGUUGUGGACGAUGUGAACAAUUUCAUUUCCUUGGGCAGUGUGAUUAGUAGUGAUGGCAGUCUAAUGUGAACAGCAGAACUGGCAAAGCAGGGUUCAUAUUCGCCAAAUAUGAGCAACAACAAACAUCACUUCUGACAUGAGGUCUAAUUAUGUAAUAUGUAUGGAAAGUGUCAACAAAGGCUGAUAAUGUAAACAGAAAGCCCUAAAAAAUCACCUAGCAAAAUUAAAUUACGAAUAAGGAAAUCGUUCUGUGAAGCAAAUCCCAGCUUUUACAGGACACUGGGGUACUACAUUAGCUUUUCCUGGCAGACUAUUUUGUACCUAUCAUCCACCUGGCAUACUGAAUCAUGGCAAUAAGAAAGUGGUUAUGUUCAAAACCGGGUUGAUAGCUAAUACGAAAUGUUUCAGAAUUCAAAUAUCUUACAAAGUACAUCAACAUACAUAUUUCACUCCUGCUUGGAACUAUAUAAUACAGGAUUAUAGGGGGAGUGGGUCAUUUGCUAGAUUUUCAUUAUUUUUCUCCCAACUCCAAGAAGUAUGAUUAGUAGCCAUUAUGAAUUGCAUCAUUCCUUCCUGCUAAAAAAAUUUGCAUUCUUCCUGGUCACUUCUUUUCAAGCUCUUCAUUCUGAAUCACAAACUUCAGUCACUAGACCAACCAAUUUUCAAUUGUGAAAUGAAACUUGAAACUUUGCUGUGCUGCAAGAAGUACUGCAGAUUUGGAUUUAUGGUUGAAAAAGACUCGGCUUGUUUCCUUUAAAUACAUCAAGUUUCCAGAAGCACAACUGUGUCCUGGUAUGAUUUACUGUCGUCUGUACCAUGAGUUGUUAACAUUAUUUUCUAUUGGUGAUAACCAUCGUCAACAAUCAGUUACUUCAGUGGAACCAAUUUCAGCCUACCCACCAAAAUAUACUCCACUCAGAAGAUUAUUUUUGUGGGGAGUAAUAUAUUUUGUUGCUUUGUGUCAUGUCAUACUAAAUUUACCCAAGUAAAGCUAUAGUUGCAUGUUUUCCUUUACAUUCAGAAGUUUUAUCAAGUUGAAUAACCAAUCUCUAGUUGUCAUUUUAAAAUCUUAACCAACAUAUAAAUAUAAAGUGUAUGCAAUUCUGCAACAAUAUUAAUGACAUGA